rnacentral:lncRNA from 1 species
UUUCCGGCCGGGAGCUUGGAGCGGCAGCACACAGGCUUGUUGUGAAUUCUUUACCGGGCAGGCCAGAUAGGUACCGUCUCAUCAAUGGAAUGCCUAAUGAUGCACCAAUGGUUCAUAGGCAACCACGCCCUCACAAUAACUAUGAACCUCCUCACAAUAACUAUGAACCUCCUCACAAUAACUAUGAACCUGCUCACAAUAACUAUGAACCACACCCUGGCUAUAAUUAUGAAUCACACCCAGGAUAUGCGGCAAUGCCACCCCUGCCUUUAUCAGCUCCUCAGCCGUUUGUACCUUACGCUUCUGUCUCUACUGCACAUUACGGUUAUAACCAAC